GUUAUCCGGAAUUAUUGGGCGUAAAGCGCGCGUAGGCGGUUUUUAAGUCUGAUGUGAAAGCCCACGGCUCAACCGUGGAGGGUCAUUGGAAACUGGAAAACUUGAGUGCAGAAGAGGAAAGUGGAAUUCCAUGUGUAGCGGUGAAAUGCGCAGAGAUAUGGAGGAACACCAGUGGCGAAGGCGACUUUCUGGUCUGUAACUGACGCUGAUGUGCGAAAGCGUGGGGAUCAAACAGGAUUAGAUACCCUGGUAGUCAACGGCG
rnacentral:rRNA from 1 species